rnacentral:rRNA from 1 species
GGGGGGGGCGAGCGUUGUUCGGAAUUAUUGGGCGUAAAGGGCGCGUAGGCGGUGCGGUAAGUCUGUUGUGAAACCUCCAGGCUCAACUUGGAGCUUGCACCAGAAACUGCCGUGCUAGAGUGCGGGAGAGGAGAGUGGAAUUCCUGGUGUAGCGGUGAAAUGCGUAGAUAUCAGGAGGAACACCGGUGGCGAAAGCGGCUCUCUGGACCGCAACUGACGCUGAGGCGCGAAAGCUAGGGGAGCAAACAGGAUUAGAUACCCUGGUAGCCCUAGCCUUAAACGAUGAACACUUGGUAUAGCGGGUAUCGAAUCCCGCCGUGCCGGAGCUAACGCAUUAAGUGUUCCGCCUGGGGAGUACGGUCGCAAGGCUG